AGGAGCUUUGCACCCCACAGGGAGAGCUGUCGGUAUGAAACUUGCCAGCUUGCUAUGGGCAGUGACUGUCUCCACCUGUCUGGGCUCCAGCAUGGCCCAGACAGUCACUCAGACACAACCAGAAAUGUCCGUGCACGAGGCAGAGACCGUGACCCUGGACUGCACGUAUGACACACCUGACAGCAAUUACUAUUUGUUUUGGUACAAACAGCCUCCCAGCAGGGAGCUGGUUCUCAUUAUUCGCCAAGAAGCUUACAAGCCAGAGAAUGCCACACAGAAUCGUUUCUCUGUGAACUUCCAGAAAGCAGCCAAAGCCUUUAGUCUCAAGAUCUCAGACUUGCAGCUGGAGGAUGCCGGGACGUAUCUCUGUGCUCUCAGGAGCUCACGAUGACACAGAUGGCAGGGAGAACCUUACAGAAACCUCAGACUUCAGCACACAUGCAC